rnacentral:rRNA from 1 species
AAAGAAAAUAACAAUGAUUCCCCUAGUAACUGCGAGUGAAGAGGGACAAGCUCAAAUUUUAAAUCUAUCGGGUCUUACCCGAUCGAGUUGUAAUUUGAAGAAGCGUUUUCUGCGUUUUUGGUCAGCCCAAGUCCUAUUGAAUGAGGCAUCAUGGAGGGUGAUAAUCCCGUCCGGUUGAUCAUUUGCGUUUUACGAUACGCUAUCUAAGAGUCAAGUUGUUUGGGAUUGCAGCUUAAAAUGGGAGGUAAAUUUCUCCUAAGGCUAAAUAACGGCGAGAGACCGAUAGCGAGCAAGUACCGUGAGGGAAAGAUGAAAAGAACUUUGAAAAGAGAGUUAAACAGUACGUGAAAUUGUUGAAAGGGAAACGAUUGAAGCCAGUCGUACCUUCGGGUAAUCAGCCUUUCGGGUGCGAU